rnacentral:rRNA from 1 species
GAACGGUAUCUUUCCGAAAACCGGCUCGCCGUGAGACGCGGGCCUCAGGAUGGCGCUGCGGCCGAUUAUGCUUGAUGGCGGUGUAACGGACCACCAUGGCGACGAUCGGUAUGGGCGAUGGAAGUCGGAGCCCAGAGUCGGCCACUGAGACAAGGGGCCGAGCCUUACGAGGCUUAGUGGUCGCGAAACCUCGCCAAUGCACGAAAGUGUGAGUGGGCCACUCCAAGUGCCAUUCUUACGGAUGGCUGUCGCUCAGUAUAACAAGCUGAGAAAGGAAGGAGAGGGCAAGGCUGGUGCCAGCCGCCGCGGUAAAACCAGCUCUUCGAGUGGUCAGGACGAAUAUUGGGUCUAAAGCGCUCGUAGCGGGGCAAGUGGGUUCUUGGUUAAAUCCGACAGCAUAACUGCCGGACUGCUGAGAAUACCGCUAGCCUUGGGAGCGGGAGAGGACAGAGGUAGUCAUGGGGCAGGGGUGAAAUCCAGUGAUCCCAUGGCGACCACCGAUGGCGAAGGCAUCUGUCUGGAACGUAUCCGACCGUGAGGGGCGAAAGCUAGGGGAGCGAACGGGAUUAGAUACCCCGGUAGUCCUAGCCGUAAACGAUGCAGACUAGGUGUUGCAAUGGUCAAGAACCGUUGCAGUGCCACAGCGAAGGCGUUAAGUUUGCCACCUGGGGAGUACGUACGCAAGUAUGAA